GUAGAAAUGCCAGAGUUGUACAUGGGACUGGUUUAGGACUAGUUUACGGUCAUUCGACCUUUUUACU
rnacentral:tRNA from 1 species